rnacentral:misc_RNA from 1 species
AGAUGGGUCAUUCUAGUUCUAUUCAAUCAAUGCUUGAAUAUCCUCUGAAGAACUGUCCAGAAGUCUUACUUCUUGGGAUGUCACAUAUCAAUACUGCUUAUAACCUUCUCCAAUAUGAAGUGUCCUUUAUGGUUUUUCCUAUGAUAAUCAAAAGCGGCACAGGAAGUGGUAUGAUUCAUUAUCUCUGGCACAUAAAUCCCAGUCUUGUUGUGCGGGGAUUUGUA